UACGUAACUGGGUGUGCUUUUGUGUAACUGGUUUGGUAACAGCAGAUCGACUGUACUACUAAAAGACAUCGAUCAAGCAGCAAAACAUUCCUCUAUCUGGCGACAAAAACAUCCCUUUUCUGAGGAGAAAGAAGAACAGACUCUCGCGCCAUGGUCUGACUGCUGAUCAAAGCCAGCAUCUGGACGGUGAGGAAGAUUCGGGCCCACAUUGCUGAGGGAGAGCAAGAGGAGAAGCCCAUCUUCACACCAUGUGGUGUUAUUGGUUUUAAGAAGGAGCAGUUGACAUCAGGUUCUGAUCCACCGGCGGCCAUAAUGACCCCUGAACCUGAUGAUGGUAUCGCUAACGGCGGCCCGGCGCCGUCGUCAGAGACAGCCGUGCAGAAGUGCGGAUCCUGAGGUUAAAGGUCACACUGGAUAACUGGCUGGGACCAAUAAAUGAUUAUUAAGCAUGUCUUGAAAAAGGAUGCAUUUACAGAACUGUAUGUCGACAGACGCAGUCGCCCUGGUCCUCGCUCCCAGACAACUUUGCAGUAUUUAGAUUUGUUUGUGUUAUUUCUUACCUUAUUUACUCAGAACAUUUCUAGUAUUGUUACUUACACCCGGAAAAAAACUUUUGGACGUUUUAAUCAGGGAAAUUCUACUUCCCUGAUCUGGACUGUCUAUAAACAACAUUCACAUACAUUAUUCUGAUAGUCUUCAUUUCUUUUUCAAAAGUUUGGAUUAUGUAUGUAUUGUAUUACUAGAAACAUAAGCAUUUCGCUGCACCUGCAAAUCUGUACGCGACCAAUAAACUUUGAUUACUUUUUUGUAUAGCCCAACACGCUCUUACUUAAAUUUACUGACCUUAGUCAAAGCGUUCCCAUACAAAAUGUCACUAUGACCAUAAUGAUGACUAGUUUUGAGAUCAAAUUAUGACAUGACAAGUCAUUCCAUUUAAUUUGUGUUGUGUAGGUUUCUGAACCCAAGUAUCCUAAUACGAUAUCGCAAAAUAAAAAGUUUAUUAUUUACUGAUCUAUAGAAGAUAUUCUUUAACAGCCCUCCAACUGAAAAACGUUUAUGUUGUCAUGCCCUUGCUGUCCCAGCCUCUGUCCAGUGUGCCCAUACUCAGCGGACCAAAUACUAAACUGAGAUACCUGCUGUAAUUCCAACUUUCACUCACAUCAGUCACUAAAUCAGUGUGAAGAUUGUGUGAAGUUAGGACAUUUUCAUAUACACUGAUCUCAGGUCAAUAUUGGGUCCAGUGAGCUCUGUUUAACUUCUGACACCAGAUGACCCUUGUGGCUGCAGCGUGUGACGGCCUGCUCACCAACCCCUCCACCCAGGGACUGAGCGGUUCUGAUGCCCCUGCUGCAGCUUCCCCAAUAAAAACUUGAAAACUA